rnacentral:rRNA from 1 species
AUAUUUUUAAGGGCCGCGCAAAGUUACCCAAUCCAGAAAAUGGGAGGUGGUGACGAAAAGUACCUGAGGACAAUCAAAUGGUUGUCAAUCUGGAAUGGAAUCAAUUUAAGCAAUUGAUUGAGAAACUACUAGAGGGCAAGUCUGGUGCCAGCAGCCGCGGUAAUUCCAGCUCUAGUAGCGUAUCUCAAAGUUGCUGCGCUUAAAACGCUCGUAGUUGGAUCACAAACUAUAUAUUGGUUGGUAUGGUGUUGUAGCAUUUGUAGAGAACCAGCAGUAUGUCCUCAUGCUGUUGGGUAUUUAUGUGUUGUAAAACCGUAUCCACAAGCUAGUAUAUAGUAAUUGCGCGUGAGGAUAGAUAUUGGCCUUGAAUGAGCUGAUGUUUGUGUCUCACGGAGUGUGCCUUGAGUAAAUCAGAGUGCUUAAAGCAGGCUUUACGCUUGAAUGUUAUAGCAUGGAACGAACAAUCGUGUAUGGUGUACAUUGUAAUUGUUUGGUAGAUUCGUUUAUCAUUCGGCAAUGUACCACACCGACCACCAAUUACGCAUGUUGGUUUCGUAUUGGGGUAGAGAUUAAGAGGAGCGGUUGGGGGCAUUGGUAUUUGGCAGCGAGAGGUGAAAUUCUUGGACCUGCCAAGGACUAACAAAUGCGAAGGCAUCUGUCCAGACCGUAUCCAUUAAUCAAGAACGAAAGUGAGAGGUUCGAAGAUGAUCAGAUACCGUCCUAGUUCUCACUGUAAACUAUGCCGACCCGGGAUCAGUUUGGAGCUAUGUUCAAUGCUCGGAGUUGGUCCCCCUGGGAAACCUUAAGUUUUUCGGUUGCGGGGGGAGUAUGGUCGCAAGGCUGAAACUUAAAGGAAUUGACGGAAGGGCACCACCAGGGGUGGAGCCUGCGGCUUAAUUUGACUCAACACGGGAAAACUUACCUGGUCCGAACAUCCGAAGGAUACACAGACUAAUAGAUCUUUGUUGAUGGGGAAAAGUGUGCAGCCCCUG